rnacentral:piRNA from 1 species
UAGCAAUAAAAGUGUCUUCUGUGACU